UAAUACGUAGGGUGCAAGCGUUGUCCGGAAUUAUUGGGCGUAAAGAGCUCGUAGGCGGUUUGUCACGUCGGAUGUGAAACCUCGGGGCUCAACCCCGAGCCUGCAUACGAUACGGGCAGACUUGAGUACGGCAGGGGAGACUGGAAUUCCUGGUGUAGCGGUGAAAUGCGCAGAUAUCAGGAGGAACACCGGUGGCGAAGGCGGGUCUCUGGGCCGAUACUGACGCUGAGGAGCGAAAGCGUGGGGAGCGAACAGGAUUAGAUACCCUGGUAGUCCACGCCGUAAACGGUGGGUGCUAGGUGUGGGGAACAUUCCACGUUCUCCGUGCCGCAGCUAACGCAUUAAGCACCCCGCCUGGGGAGUACGGCCGCAAGGCUA
rnacentral:rRNA from 1 species